UUGCCUUAAACUAAUGAGUAAGGAAAACAAAGCGAACGGUGGGAGCUGUUCGCAGCGCUGAUGUAAAUGCAUGCGCAAGAAUUUCUGGAGGGGUUAUAGGCUGGCCGGGUGCUGACGCUGCUUACUUUGCAGAACUCACUCGUGCGGGCCUCCC